rnacentral:lncRNA from 1 species
CGGCCGAAAAUGAAAGUCCCAUAUUUUUCCAUUCAAAGUCUUUGUUAAAAUACCCUUUGUAAACCGGACCCUGUGUAUUCCGAAUUCCGGUCUUAUUAUGAAGUCCAAAUACUCUUAAUUACAUUAAUUUUUACCUGUCAAAACCGGUUUGUCUAAUUAAUUUCAAUGAUCGAUAUGCAAUCAAAACAUAUUUGUUGAUACAAUAUAACUUUUCGUGAUAAUCAAUUAGUCAGGUGUCAAACUGUGAACCUACAAUCGUACAGUAGUGAGCUGUAUUAUUUAUUAAAACAUUAUAAACGUGUCAAUUAAACGAAAAGACACACCGAAUAUAUAUCUCGGAUUGAACUUACGUUUUAAUUUGGAUAAACAAAUUAAAAUCGCUAAGUAAAAAGUUCACAUCGUAAUUUCGAAAUCCUUGGUUCCUUGUUGUGAACCCCUAAACAAAUGACCUUGAUAAUGAAAAACACCCGGAUGACAACAAUCAAUGGAUAUUGUACACUGUACGACAUGGUUUCGAAAGUGAUGACAUUACGUUUGAUAAUAUUCUGGCUUUUUAAUCGGCCAUUCCAACAUUUCAAAUUAUUGAUCAUGGGAGUAAAUCGAAACUCUCGUCUUACAAUCCAAACAACGCGAGCAUUAUGAUGCAA